rnacentral:tRNA from 1 species
UUUUGAUAGCAGCACAGUGAAUCCAGCUUUAGCAAUUAAGGCUUCUACCUAUGGUAGAACUGAAAUUUAAUUUUAAUUCAUAAAUAGUCAGAUUUUCGAGCCUCCACAUGCAUUUUGUCGACAUUUGUCCACAUUACAAAAACACAACGCCAGAUGACACAUUCUGGCACUGCAUUUCAUCUCCAUUUGAGAGACAGAGAAUUGUAAUGGGGAGUUGGCAGAGGUGUGUAUCUGCACUUCGAGCUGGUGGGAGCAUUCUGUUCCUCUUUGAAGCUCUGAAAGGCAUCACUUCUAAGCUGUGGGGAAAUGGCCGGACUCUCCAUGAUGCCAGCAUUUCACCAUCAUGAGUUGAUCCAGGACCCCAGAACACACAACUCAGCCAUCGAUGGCAUUCUAGCAAAAUAACCAAAACAGAGAGCUGUCAAACUGGGGGCCGCAGCCUAGCGACCACUCAGCUGUUAUGUGUAAUGUAAACACAGCACGGUCUCCAUCCAAAAACAUUUGCUAAAAAACCUAAUUGCCAUUCUGGGGUGAUUCUGAGAACGACAAGGGCGUGAAGCAAAGCCCUCAAGGAGAAGGACCUGGAAUUAGGGUUAGGGUUAGGGUUAGGCCUCAGAGGCCUCAGAGAUCACAAAUGCCACAGGGGCCAGUGGAGCACACAUACAGGGGCCCAAGAAGCAUGCUGGGCCACGUGCGACCACCCAGUCAUGCGUGUGGCAUGUAGAAUUUCCUCAUUUGACAUUUUCCAUCCUUUGCUCACAAUCAGUUUCUCACAAUCAAUUAAUGCGUAUUUUUGAGGACCUGCUCUGUGCAGGGUCCCAUGUUUGUAUCUGUGGCCAUCUCCCCAACUGAGCAGACUCAGAAAAGACCAAACAGUGACCUUUCUCGAUGCUUUUUUGUUUGUUUGUUUGUUUGUUUUUGGCCUCAGCGUGUAGUAGCUUGAUGUGGGAUCUCAGUUCCCAGACUAGGGAUCAAAUCCAGACCUCAGUGGUGAAACCGCUGACUCCUAACCACUAGACCACCAGGGAACUCACCCAUGUUUAAUUGAAAGAACUAUACAAGGAAAACAAUCUUGUCAUUAAAAUGUUGAAUAUUAAUGUUAAAAAAAUUCAUGUAGAAUUGAGUUACUUAGGUAUGGAGGGAGUUUCUGUUCUGAGGGAAACUCCAUGAUAGAGCAUUUGAAAGAAGAGACGGGAACUAAUGUUUAAUGAGCUUCUAGUCUGUAGCCGUGCUUAAAGAAAUAAGACAGAAUAGGAGUUCCCGUUGUGGCUCUGUGGUUAACGAAUCCGACCAGGAACCAUGUGGUUGCGGGUUCGAUUCCCUGGCCUUGCUCAGGGGGUUGAGGAUCCGGCGUUGCCGUGAGCUGUGGUGUAGGUCGCAGACGCGGCUCGGAUCCCACAUUGCUGUGGCUCUGGUGUAGGCUGGCAGCUGCAGCUCCGAUUGAACCCCUAGCCUGGGAAUCUCCAUAUGCUGCGGGAGCAGCCCAAGAAAU